rnacentral:rRNA from 1 species
CCUACGGGAGACAGCAGUGGGGAAUAUUGGGCAAUGGGCGCAAGCCUGACCCAGCAACGCCGCGUGAGGGAAGAAGGCUUUCGGGUUGUAAACUUCUUUUCUCAGGGACGAAGAAAGUGACGGUACCUGAGGAAUAAGCAACGGCUAACUAAGGACCAGCAGCCGCAGUAGUACGGAGGUGGCAAGCGUUAUGCGGAUUUAAUGGGUGUAAAGGGCGGGUAGGCGGGUAAGUAAGUUAGCUGUGAAAACUCCGGGCUCAACCUUGGGCCUGCCUUUGAAACUGUUCUUCUUGAGUACUGGAGAGGUAGGCGGAAUUCCCGGUGUAGCGGUGAAAGGCGGAGAUAUUAGGUGGAACACCAGUGGCGAAGGCGGCUUGCUGGAUGUCCACUGACGCUGAGGCGCGAAAGCGUGGGGAGCAAACAGGAUUAGAUACCCGAGUAGUC